CUUUUCUCACACUUGCUUCAUUAUCACUCUUCUGCCUCUUCUUAUGGAGGUUCAGUCAUACAGUGAUGGUCAAACCCUUACAGUGCCGUGAAGCAUGUAAACCUCAGAGCAUUACACACUGUGGACUAGGUGUAAAGUUAAGACAAAUCUGUUCUUUGGAGAAGUGGAGGGAGCCGUCAUGAACAAGCUUCUUCUCAUGGGCUCAUUUAAAAAGUCAGACACAUACAAAUACAUGAUCUGUUUCACACUGUUCAUAUUUACAACCAGUAGAUGGCGCCAUAGAUUUACAUGUAUGUUUCUGCAGAUUAAUGACACUGAUUGGACAACAUGCAACAUGCUCAGUUAACAUGUUUUUAGCUGUUUUCAGAUGCUAAAAGUAAAUAAAUUGCAUCCGAAUUUAAUGCUUUUACCAUCCAGUACUACUGUAAAGUGUUUGCAUUGUUAUUUCUUAUAACCGUGGCCUAAAACUGGGAUUCAUAAAAUCCAUAAGAUUAAAAAUGGCUAUAAUCUUUGGUUUAAAAGAUCUUAAUCCUGUGUUAUGAAGUGUAUAAAGCCUUAAAUAUAUUUCUGGUUUUGCUCUGGUUAGGAUUGCAGGCAGUAAUGACAGCACCUGGAUGUGAGUACAGUAUACUGUACUUGGGUUGUAACGGCAUACCGUCAUGGCGGAAUAUCACAAUAUUUAUGUGUGCGAUUAUCGUAUCGUGAACAUUUGCUUACCAAGGUUUUGGACACAAAUUAAGGCAGAUCUCUGCUGCGCAUAUAUGCAACUUUUUUCCAUGUGACUGUCAGACCCCACUCAUACAUACUGCUAAGAAAAUGUCAGAGCCACGGAUGUUAAAUAAUAUCACCAUGUGAGGGACGGAUCAUGUUUAAAGGAUUGUGUUAAUAUAAUUAACUAACAUAAAAAUUUAUUAGCAAGAAAGCUAGAAUAAAUUGGGUUUGUGAAAAACUAAAUUUAUAUAACAUACUCAUAAUGUACAAUAAAAAAAUAUACACACAAAUUUACAUCUGUAAAAACCCAGCUGUGUCCCACCUGAAAAGUUUUUUGAAAAUAUGUAUUUAAUAAUACUGCAUAAAUCAUGAGGGCGGGACUUGAUACUUUUGUGGGCCGUGUUCGCCCAGAGGGCCGUACUGUAUGUUUUGACACCCUUGCUCUAAGUAAACUGCCUGAUGAUUGGAUAAGGAAAUGCAGAUUUCUAUUGGCUGUCUGUUGUGCUACCUCUCAUGUAAUGCAGCUCAAGCUCAG